AUGCCUUCUGACCGGGCCCCUGGUCCCGAUGGUUUCUCUGGGCUUUUCUACAAGAUUUGUUGGGAUAUCAUCGCGGAUGGCUUUAUGGCAGCUAUGGAUGCCCUUCACCAGGGCCACUUCUCCUCCUUUAGUGGGCUGAACACUUCAAUCCUAACGCUUUUGCCGAAGAAGGAGGGAUCGAUGCAGCUAACGGAUUUUAGGCCUAUAAACCUAAUUCAUGGAGUGGCCAAGAUCUUUUCGAAGGUGUUGGCAACUCAUUUGGCCUUGCUGCUUCCAGGUAUUGUAUCCAGAGCUCAGAGUGCUUUUGUCACUAAGAGAUCUAUUCAUGAGAAUUUCAAGUUUGUUUGGAAUGCGGCUAGAGCCCUGCACCAGAAGAAGCACCCAUCUGUGCUUAUGAAAAUAGAUAUAUCAAAGGCUUUUGAUUCCUUGUCCUGGGAAUUCCUUUUGGAGAUCUUGCAGAUCAGAGGCUUUGGAAACAAAUGGUGCUCCUGGAUUUGCGGUCUUCUGAGCUCAGCCUCAUCUUCGGUUCUCAUCAAUGGGGGACCAGCACGCAGUUCGCUCUGGGGAAGGGAGUAA
rnacentral:rRNA from 1 species